CUGCGGAAGCGACACUGACAAUGCAGUCGCCUAAACGACCGCUACCAAACCCUGGGCUACACCCUAGUAGCCCCACUGAAGUCGCGACCGUAACUGGUCUAAGCACCGUCUCCGUAGAGACAUUCGCAGUAGCUAUCGUGUCCUAAGUAGGAAGAGUGGCCCGGGCGUCGGCAGUCAUGACACUCGCCUAGGCCCGAAAAUCUCACUUGGCCCUUCAAGGCCCCACCUGACAGGAGUGGCAACACCUGGGGAAUGUCGCCCCACCACUCGAUGUCCGAAUAAGUACACCGCAACUACCCCCGACUUAGACACCAG
rnacentral:lncRNA from 1 species